UACGUAGGUGGCAAGCGUUGUCCGGAUUUAUUGGGUUUAAAGGGUGCGUAGGCGGUUUUAUAAGUCAGUGCUGAAAUAUCCCGGCUUAACCGGGAGGGUGGCAUUGAUACUGUAGAACUUGAGUCGAGUUGAGGUUGGCGGAAUUGACGGUAUAGCGGUGAAAUGCUUAGAUAUCGUCAAGAACACCGAUAGUGAAGACAGCUAACUAAGCUCAAACUGACGCUGAGGCACGAAAGUGUGGGGAUCAAACAGG
rnacentral:rRNA from 1 species